rnacentral:lncRNA from 1 species
UUCGUAGUGGGGUUACCGGCGACGUCCAACAGAUUGGACUCCAUAUGGGUGAUUGUGGACAGACUCACCAAAUCUGCUCACUUCAUCCCUGUUGUAACGACCCGAAAAUCGGACCGCUACCGGCGCUAGGAUCCAGGUCUGCUUAAGGCCGCCGGGACCCAUAGCAAGCCUAACAUGCCUCCUGUUAACCUGUUUAAUCCCAUACAUGAUCAACAAAAUACAUAAGAAUUAAAACUUUUCUUUCAUUCAUUAUCUCAUACACCAAACUCAACCUGUGCAUGCACUGAACAUAAACAUAAUCAUAAACUUGACCCCUCUGUGGGAUCUCAUCAAUGCCCCCAAUGGGUGGCAUAACAUGUGUUGAGUUGGCUAAACAUCUCUAUUCAUAAAACAUCUAAGAUCAUGCAUCAAAAGGGAUUACAAUAAACUAUGGUCAAGCACACUUCUAAACCUCAGUAUCAUUAUACAUAACAUAACUAUCCAACUUUACAUCAUUUUACAAUUGAUCAUGUCCACUUUCUAUCUAUUACAAAGAUAAGACUUUACUCUUCUGGACUUCUCUGUCUAGCCCGUACUUGCAAACCUGGGGAAUUUGGGAAAGGGGUGAGCUACAAGAGCCCAGUGAGCAGAAUCAUAAAGCAUUUAAAACACAUGCUAUCAUGAAAUGCAUCACAUCACAACUAAUCAUAUCAAGGAUGAACUUGUCACCAUUUAGCCCUCUACAUAAUCCAAUCAUGCCAGGGGCGUAGUGCAGGCCACACCUGGUCUUUCUCUUAUGCAUAACAUAACAUACAUAAUCCAUGGUGCCGGGGGCGUAGUGCAGGCCACGUCCGGUCUUUCUCUUACAUAGUGCCAGGGGCGUAGUGCAGGCCACACCUGGACUUCCAUAUCAUAUCAUCAUGUCAUAACAUAUGAGGGCUAAUGGAUCAUUCAACAUUCAUCCACAUCAACAACAUAUUAUGCAAUGCAACAUAUUCGUGAUUUCUAAUGCAAACAACCGAAGAUAUCACAUGGCAUCCGUGAUGCAUGAACAUGCUCAAAACUGAUUUAUUUACUUGAAAGCAUAAGAGUUAUUCCACUCACCUCUGGCUAGCUCUGACACUGACUGAAGCAGCUAACUCACUGCUGAGGUCCUCGGUUCCUCGGGUCCGAACCUACACAGGUGGACUCAAAUGAGGGACCGAACAACUAGAACAUAACUCUAAAAACAUCCCCCAAAAACCCCCUAAAACAUCUCAAAACAUCCAUGCAAGAACAUGCAAAGGAAGGCUGGACAGGGCACUUUCGGUGGCAGGUUCGGCGGCCGAAAGUCCCUCCAGAGCCGAAAGUCAGGCAGGUUCGGCGGCACCUUCGGCGGCCGAAACUCCCNNNNNNNNNNNNNNNNNNNNNNNNNNNNNNNNNNNNNNNNNNNNNNNNNNNNNNNNNNNNNNNNNNNNNNNNNNNNNNNNNNNNNNNNNNNNNNNNNNNNNNNNNNNNNNNNNNNNNNNNNNNNNNNNNNNNNNNNNNNNNNNNNNNNNNNNNNNNNNNNNNNNNNNNNUAGAGCAGCCAGUGCGGAUUCUAGACACGCAGAUCAGACAGCUACGGAACAAGGAGAUUCCGAUGGUGAAAGUGCUAUGGAACCACCAUAAUCUAGAAGAGUGCACCUGGGAGACGCGAGAGUCUAUGCUCCAGCAGUAUCCAUAUCUCUUUUGAGGUUUGUUUCCUCCUUUUGUUGUGAUUGUUAUUUGUUUUAGGAACAUCCGAGGACGAAUGUUCUUAAGGGGGGGAGAAUGUAAUAUCCGGCUAGAAUCCGGCACCGGAAUUCCUAUUGUCUGGUGGAAUCCGGGGUGUUGGGAUUCUAUAUACGGGUAGGAGUUAUGUUUGCUACGUGUUAUGAUGUGUUUUAUGGUUUUCCAUUGAGUUGAAAUGAACCAAGGCAGAGGAGCCAAGUUCGGCCGCCGAAGAUAAGUUCGGCCGCCGCAAGUGCCCAAUAUUCGGCUUCCGAAGUUCAGGUUCGGCCCCCGAAUGUUGCAUGGUUUUGCAUGCGAUUCGGCAGCCGAAGCUGAGUUGCUUAGCCAGCAGGUUUGUAUCCCUGAGUCAGCCUUUUGGACAGGUGUGAUCACCAUAGCAUGUCCAGAAGUUGGCCACGUCUCCUAUGCUGUAUUUGCUGAGUUUAAGCAGCUCAUGCAGAGUGUUUUGAGCAUUCACAAGGGGUUUGACUGUUUUGAAGCAAAAAGUGAGUUUGAGAGAGUUUGAGAGUAGUUGAUCCGUUUUCCUUUGUUUAGAUCACUCAUCUUCUUGUUCCAGGAGGUAAGUGAUGCUCUUGAACAUGUGUAGAUGUUUCUGCAGGUUUUAUGGGAGUUGGGGAGAGAGAGGCGCAUGUUGAGGUUUUAAAUGGGAGUUUUGAUGAUUUAUGCAUGUAUAUAUGAUUAUGUGUUAUGUUUGAUUCGUUAUUUGGGGUUAUUAGAUAGUUUUGGACCCCUGUGAUCAUAUACGUGAGUAUAUGUGAGUUGAGGAGAUGAGGUAUGCAUGUUUUGAGAGCUUGAAGGGAAGGAGGAGAUGGUUUGCCGUUGAAGCUGAGUUCUGGAUGAACUCAGGUUCGGCAGCCGAAGGUUCAUUCGGCCGCCGAACCUCCUGCAUGGUGGCUUGGUUGCCACAGCUUGCCCCCGAGUGUUUUUGCAUGUUCGGCUCUGUUUGGGGGAUUCGGCCGCCGAAGGUGCCGCCGAAGGUGCUUGAGUUUCGUCUCUGGAGAGGACAUUCGGCCGCCGAACCUGCCGCCGAAAGUGUUCUGUCCAGCUUUUCUUUUGCAUGCUUUGCAUGGCUAGUUAAGUGAGUUUUAGGGGAUUCUUGGGGACGUUUAAGAAGUUAGUUCUACGCUUGUUUGGUCCCUCAUUUGAGUCCAUCUGUAUAGGUACAGACCAGAGGAACCAGAGAGAGCAGCAGUGAGUACUGCUCCAGAGGUUCAGAGCCUGCAGAGUCAGUCAGUUCAGAUAGCUAGAGGUGAGUGGAACUAAACUUAUGACUUUUAAUUGACCCACAAACUGAUUUUAGCAUAUCUCAUGCAUCAUGUUUAUGCCAUAGGUUGAUUGCAUUAGUAUUCUCGAAUAUGUUGCAUUGCAUCGUUAUUUGGUGAUGUGAGUAAAUGCUGAAUGAUCCAAUAGUCUCAGACAGGAAGUCCAGGAGCCUUUGACUACGCCCUGGCACGUAUAGCAAAGUCCAGGAGCCUUUGACUACGCCCUGGCAGGUAUAUAGCAAAGUCCAGGAGCCUUUGACUACGCCCUGGCAAUGGUAAGUACACAGGUGUUAUAUACACAUAUACAUAUAUGACAGGAAGACCAGGUGCUCGAUUCUACGCCCUGGCACAGAGUUACUGGGACUAUGUGGUGACAGGUUUACUCUUGAUGUGGCUUGUCUGUGAUAUGAUGCAUUCCAUGAGAUCAUAUGUUACUGAGAUGUUUUACUGUUCUACUCACUGGGCUAUAGAGCUCAUCCCACUCCCUUAACCCCAGUUUUGCAGGUUCAGUGUACAGUGUACAGGGACAGUCCAGCAGAGUACAGGAAAAGUAAAGAGAUCUGUAAUAGCUUUAGGUGGACAUGUAAUAUUAAAGAUGUAAUGUAAUAGUUGUUGCUUGACCUAGUGAUGUAUGUUUUGUACAUGAUCUGUAUAUGUAUAUAUGUUUUCCUGUAUGUGAAAACCAGGCUUAACAGGUAUGAGUUAACCCAUCUAGAGCACGCUCUAGUCAGGAAUACAGAGUACAGAGUACAGAGUACAUGAGUACAGAGUACAGAGAUAGUGCAUGCACAGGUUAAGCCUUGGUUCAGAAAAGAGUUUUAUUUUCACAGAAAAUGUAUGAUCAUGUAUGAGGUUUACAGGUACACAGAGAGUAUAGCAGGCUUGCUACGGGUUUUGGCGGCCUUAAGCCGACCUGAAUCCUAGCGCCGGUGACGGUCCAUUUUGGGGUCGUUACACCUUUCGGGGGCUAGCUUCGGCAGCCGAAGGCUGCCUCCACAAGAGGGUUCGGCGGCCGAAAGUCCCUUCGGCUGCCGAACCUGGUUUCUCCCAAAGGGCAGAAAUUUGGUUCAAACAUGCACAAAUGCCUCCAAUCUCAUACCAUUAUGCAUUUAGCUCAACCAAAACAUGCAUACAAGCUCCUAGGGGUCUCAAACUACCUUAAACCCCAACUACAACACAUCAAACACACAUUUACAAGCCAUAUUGCUCAAAAAUUCUUCAAAAACCCAUAAACUCAACAUAAGCUUACUCAUGCAUUUUCUACCCCAUGAACUUGCAUAAAACUUGUUUAAAACAUAAUGUAAGCUAGAGAUCGACUCUUACCUCUUGAAGAUCGAGAGUAGAGGCGAUCUAAACUUGGAGUUGGGAGAGAUUUAGCUCCUUGGGUCUCCAAGUUCAAAACUUGCUCAAAACUUGAAAUUCUUCAAAAGAAAGCAAAAACUUGUGAAAAUCUUGAAAGAUCUAAAGGAAAAGACUCAAGAUUGGUGAGGAACAGCGGAGAGCUUACCUUGGCCGACAAUGGGGAGAAAAACUCGCCCGUUUUCGGCUAAGGGACCCUUUUAUAGUGGCUGGCCAGGCCACGUUCGGGGGCCGAACGUGCCUCCGCAUGCAUGCCAUGUUCGGCAGCCGAACUUGAGGUUCGGCGGCCGAACCUGGACUUCCCUCACUCAUGCCUUCGGGGGCCUAAGGCACACCUGAAAUGCAUACAUGUUCGGCGGCCAAAAUUGAGAUUCGGCGGCCGAACCUGGGUUUUCCUCCAAGGUUGUUUUCAUGCAAAAACUCAUUUCCUUUUUACUUAAAACCAUGAAAAACAUUAAAACAUUUUAUGAAAACAUGUUUCUACCCUACUAGAGGCUUCCGACAUCCAAGAUUCCAUCGGACGGUAGGAAUUCCGAUACCGGAGUCUAGCCGGGUAUUACACCUGUCAGGAGUCGCUAUUCUGUGGACAAGUUGGCGCAGGUGUAUGUAGAUGAGAUCGUCAGGCUGUAUGGGUUCCUGUUUCAAUAGUGUUUGAUAGAGGGCCCCAGUUCACCUCCAGGUUUUGGCGGAAUCUGCAGAACGCCAUGGGUACCAGGUUGGAUUUCAGUACUGCCUUCCACCCCCAGACUUAUGGACAGUCAGAAAGGACCAUCCAGACUAUCGAGGAUAUGCUCAGAAUGUGUGUGCUGGACUUUGGUGGUUCUUGGAGGCAGCAUCUACCUUUGGUGGAGUUUGCCUACAAUAACAGCCAUCAUGCUAGCAUCGGGAUGGCUCCAUAUGAAGCUUUGUACAGAAGAAAGUGCAGGUCACCUGUUUGCUGGGAGGAAGUUGGAGAGAAGGCCUUGGCAGGGCCUGAGCUAGUAGAGAUUACCAGCAGGGUGGUACCCAUAAUCAGAGAAAGGAUCAAGACUGCUGCAAGCAGACAGAAGAGUUAUGCAGACAUCUGCAGACGGCAAGUAGAGUUUCAAGAGGGGGAUCUGGUAUUGCUCAAGGUGUCUCCAAUGAAAGGAGUGGUUCGCUUUGGGAAGAAAGGUAAACUAGCCCCACGAUACUUCGGACCCUUUGAAGUCUUGCAAAAGAUUGGGAAUGUGUCGUACAAGCUGGAUUUACCUGCUUCAAUGGAAAGAAUCCAUCCGGUUUUCCAUGUUUCCAUGUUGAGGAAGUUCGUGUCAGAUCCGAGUAAGGUUCUUAGGUGAGAUCUUCUUGGAUCUCCACAUCAGGCUCACUAAGAACCUUGCUCGGAUCUGACACGAACUUCCUCAACAUCGAAACAUGGAAAACCAGAUGGAUUCUUUCCAUUAAAGUAGGUAAAUCCAGCUUGUACGACACAUUCCCAAUCUUUUGCAAGACUUCAAAGGGUCCGAUGUAUCGUGGAGCUAGUUUACCUUUCUUCCCAAAGCGAACCACUCCUUUCAUUGGAGACACCUUGAGCAAUACCAGAUCCCCCUCCUGAAACUCUACCUGCCUUCUGCGGAUGUCUGCAUAACUCUUCUGUCUGCUCGCAGCAGUCUUGAUUCUCUCUCUGAUUAUGGGUACUACCCUGCUGGUAAUCUCUACUAGCUCAGGCCCUGCCAAGGCCUUUUCUCCAACUUCUUCCCAGCAAACAGGCAAUCUGCACUUCCUCCCAUACAAAGCUUCAUAUGGAGCCAUCCCGAUGCUAGCAUGAUGGCUGUUAUUGUAGGCAAACUCCAUCAAUGGUAGAUGCUGCCUCCAAGAAUUGCCAAAGUCCAGCACGCACAUUCUAAGCAUAUCCUCUAUCGUCUGGAUGGUCCUUUCUGAUUGUCCGUCCGUUUGUGGAUGGAAAGCAGUGCUAAAAUCCAACCUGGUACCCAUGGCAUUCUGCAGACUCCGCUAAAAUCUAGAGGUGAACUGGGGCCCUCUAUCCGACACUAUUGAAACAGGAACCCCAUGCAGCCUGACGAUCUCAUCGACAUACACCUGCGCCAACUUGUCCACAGAAUAGCCACUCCUGACAGGGAUGAAGUGAGCAGAUUUGGUGAGUCUGUCCACAAUCACCCAUAUGGAGUCCAAUCUGUUGGACGCCGCCGGUAACCCCACUACGAAGUCCAUAGCUAUAUUCUCCCAUUUCCACUCAGGAAUAGGUAGUGAGUUAAGCAUUCCAGCCGGCUUCUGAUGUUCCAGCUUCACCCUCUGACACACUUCGCAGGCUGACACAAACUGUGCCACUUCUUUCUUCAUACCUGGCUACCAAUAAACCUUCUUCAGAUCUUGAUACAUCUUGGUGGCUCCGGGGUGAACGCUGUAUCUUGCAUUAUGAGCCUCUCUCAUAAUGUCUCCUUUUAGCCCUACGUCAUCUGGUACACACAAUCGACUCCCAUAGUGGAGGAUCCCCUUGCUGUCAAAUCUGAACUCACUGUCCUUGCCUGACUGAACAGUCCUGGCAAUCUUCACUAACUUUGGGUACUCAUGCUGUUUGUAACGACCCCAAAAUGGACCGUCACCGGUGCUAGGAUUCAGGUCGGCUUAAGGCCGCCGGAACCCGUAGCAAGCCUGCUAUACUCUCUGUGUACCUGUAAAACUCAUACAUGAUCAUACAUUUUCUGUGAAAAUAAAAACUCUUUCCUGAACCAAGGCUUAACCUGUGCAUGCACUAUCUCUGUACUCUGUACUCUGUACUCUGUACUCUGUACCCCUGAAUAGAGCUUGCUCUAGAUGGGUUAUCUCAUACCUGUUAAGCCUGGUUUUUCACAUACAGCAAAACAUAUAUACAUAUACAGAUCAUGUAUAAAACAUACAUCACUAGAUCAAGCACAUUUCUAACUUGAUACACAACUAUUACAUCUCUUUAAUAUUACAUGUCCACUCUAAGCUAUUACAUUACAAAUCUCUUUAUUCUUUCUCUACUCUGCUGGACUGUCCCUGUACACUGUACACUGAACCUGCAAAACUGGGGUUAAGGGAGUGGGAUGAGCUCUAUAGCCCAGUGAGUAGAACAGUAAAACAUCUCAAUAAAAUAUGAUCUCAUGGAAUGCACCAUAGCACAGACAAGCCACAUCAAGAGUAAACCUGUCACCACAUAGUCCCAGUAACUCUGUGCCAGGGCGUAGAAUCGAGCACCUGGUCUUCCUGUCAUAUAUGUAUAUGUGUAUACAACACCUCUGUACUUACCAUUGCCAGGGCGUAGUCAAAGGCUCCUGGUCUUUACUAUACCUGCCAGGGCGUAGUCAAAGGCUCCAGGACUUCUCUAUACCUGCCAGGGCGUAGUCAAAGGCUCCUGGACUUCCUGUCUGAGACUAUUGGAUCAUUCAGCAUUCACUCACAUCACCAAAUAAUGAUGCAAUGCAACAUAUUCGUGGAUACUAAUGCAAUCAACCUAUGGCAUAAUCAUGAUGCAUGAGAUAUGCUAAAACAGUCCAUUGUGCAAGUAAAAAGUUAAGUUUAGUUCCACUCACCUCUGGCUAACUGGACUGACUCUGCAGGCUCUGAAAACUCUGGAGCAGAACUCACUGCUGCUCUCUUUGGUUCCUCUGGUCUGUACCUAUACAAAUAGACUCCAAUGAGGGACCAAACUAGCUUAUGACCAACUCUAUGAAACUCCCCAAGAAUCCCCUAAACUCACUCUACCAGCCAUGCAAAGCAUGCAAAGGAAAGCUGGACAGAACAAUUUCGGUGGCAGGUUCGGCGGCCGAAAGUCUUCUCCAGAGACGAAACUCAAGCACCUUCGGCGGCCGAACUUCCACUUUCGGCUGCUGAACCCUUUCGGGGGCACGUUUCGGAGGCCAAAAGGCACUCCAGAGACGAAAGUCUCUAACCUUCGGCGGCACCUUCGGCGGCCGAACUUCCCUCCAGAGCCGAAAGUCCAAAAGCUCGGGGGCAAGCUUGGGCAGCCGAAGCCACCUCCUCACACCUCAUCAGGGGUUCGGCGGCCGAAUGUACCUUCGGCUGCCGAACCUGAGUUCAUCAGCAGGGCAGAAACUUGCCCUGCCUCUCGCCAAAUGCACCAAACCCUCACAAGCUCAACCACCUCACUACUUCCACUUGCAUACACUCAUGUAUAUGCUCAAAGGGGUCAGAAACUACCUAAAAACCCCAAACAUACAACACAAACAACACAGAAACAAGCUCUUUGCACAAAAUCAUCAAAACCUCACACAUAACCCUAUUCAUGCAUCUCUCUCUAUAAACCCCAUAAAACCUUCAUAAAACAUAAAAACAAGCUCAGGAUCUUCACUUACCUUUUGAAACCAAGUAGAUGAAUGAUCCUAACGUGGAGUUUUGAAGCACCUCUUCUUCAAACUCUCCAAAUGCACAACUUUGAGUUUUUAGCUUAAAACCUUCAAAAGAUCAUAAAAACUAAUCAAAUCUUUGCUUGAUUUAAUGAAAACAUGAAAGAAUACUCACAAAGGACAGAGUUUCACCUCAGAAGACAAAAGAAACGGUGCUCUUACCGCUUCAACCGACUGAGGGCCAUUUAUAGGUGGCUGGCCAGACCACCUUCAGCGGCCUAUCGUGAAACCGAAAGCCAUGCAUGUUCGACGGCCGAACCUCAACUUCGGCGGCCGAACCUGGCUUUUCUGCCUUGGCUCAUUUCACUCAAAAGCUCAUUUCCUUAUGCUUUAAACCUAUGAAACAUACCAAAACAUUUAAGAAAAACAUAACUCUCACCCUUCUAGAGACUUCCGACAUCUGAAACUCCAUCGGAAAGUAGAAUUUCGAUGCCGGACUCUAGCCGGGUAUUACAUUCUCCCCCCCUUAAAAACAUUCGUCCUCGAAUGAUCCUCAAACAAACAACAACACAUAAAAAGGAGGAAACUAACCUCAAAACAAAUAUGGAUAUUGCUGGAGCAUAGACUCCCGCAUCUCCUAGGUGCACUCUUCUAGAUUAUGGUGGUUCCAUAGAACUUUCACCAUCAGAAUCUCCUUGUUCCUUAGCUGUCUGAUCUGUGUGUCCAGAAUCCAUACUGGUUGCUCUAUAUAGGUGAGAUCUGUAAGAAUCUCCACCUCAGGCUCACUCAGAACCUAAUUCGGAUCUGACACAAACUGCCGUAGCAUAGAAACAUGAAAUACCGGGUGAAUUCUCUCCAUAGACGCAGGUAAAUCCAGCUUAUACGACACAUUUUCGAUCCUCUGCAACACCUCAAAGGGUCCAAUGUAUCGUGGAGCUAACUUACCCUUCUUCCCAAAACGAACCACUCCCUUCAUUGGAGACACUUUCAGCAAUACCCAAUUACCCUCCUGGAACUCUAACUGCUUUCUGCGAAUGUCUGCAUAACUUUUCUGUCUACUCUGCGCUGUUCUGAUUCUCUCUCUAAUCAUGGGCACUACUCUACUGGUAAUCUCUAUUAACUCUGGCCCUGCAAGAGCCUUCUCUCCUAUCUCUUCCCAGCAAACAGGGGAUCUGCACUUCCUCCCAUAUAAAGCUUCAUAAGGAGCCAUCCCUAUGCUAGCAUGAUGGCUGUUAUUGUAGGCAAACUCCACCAAAGGUAGAUGCUGCCGCCAAGAACCGCCAAAGUCUAACACACACAGUCGAAGCAUAUCCUCUAUGGUCUGGAUGGUCCUUUCUGACUGUCCAUCAGUAUGUGGAUGGAAAGCAGUGCUAAAAUCCAACCUCGUGCCCAUCGCACUCUGCAGACUCUGCCAAAAGCGGGAGGUAAACUGAGGUCCUUUGUCUGAAACUAUAGAUACUGGAACUCCAUGUAAUCUCACUAUCUCAUUCAGAUAUACCUGUGCCAACUUAUCCACAGAAUAGUUACUCCGUACUGGAAGAAAAUGAGCAGAUUUCGUGAGUCUGUCCACAAUCACCCAAAUAGAGUCUAUCCUGUUGGACGUUGCUGGUAAACCCACUACAAAAUCCAUAGCUAUGUUCUCCCAUUUCCACUCUGGAAUCGGCAAUGGGCUAAGCAUUCCUGUUGGUUUCUGAUGCUCUAGUUUCACCCUCUGGCAAACCUCACAGGCUGUCACAAACUGCGCCACUUCUUUCUUCAUGGCUGGCCACCAAUAGACCCUUUUCAGAUCCUGGUACAUCUUGGUGGCUCCUGGGUGAACACUAUACCUUGCAUUAUGACCUUCCCUCAUAAUGUCUUCCUUCACACUGCUCUUAUCUGGUACACAAAGUCGACUUCCAUAACGGAGGAUCCCUUUGUUGUCAAAUCUGAACUCUCUACUAUUGCCUGACUGAACAGUCCUGGCAAUUUUCAUCAACUCAGGGUCCUCAUGCUGUCUCUGAGCGAUCUGCUCCAGAAACACAGGUGUCACUCUCAUCUGUGCGAUCAAUGCACCUGUACCAGACAACUCUAGCUGUAACCCCUCUUCUAAGAGCUUAUAAAGCUCCAUCACGACUGGUCUCCGCUCUGCUGCUAUAUGGGAUAAACUGCCUAGUGACUUCCGGCUUAGGGCGUCUGCCACAACAUUCGCCUUACCCGGAUGAUACUGGAUCUUACAAUCAAAAUCACUGAGCAAUUCUACCCAUCUUCUCUGCCUCAAAUUCAACUCUCUCUGACUCAAGAUGUACUGUAAACUCUUGUGAUCGAUGAAGAUCUCGCAUUUAACCCCGUAGAGGUAAUGCCGCCACAUCUUAAGUGCAAAGAUAACGGCUGCCAUCUCUAGGUCAUGGGUGGGGUAAUUCAACUCGUGCUUCUUCAACUGUCUAGAAGCAUAAGCUAUCACCCUAUCACUCUGCAUCAAAACACAACCCAAUCCCACUCGAGAUGCAUCACAGAACACUGUGAAAUCCUCAUUACUCACAGGCAGAGCUAGCACUGGUGCUGUGGUCAAUCUCCUUUUGAGCUCCUCAAAGCUCUCUUCACACUGGUCUGACCAGACAAAUUUCUGGUUCUUCUGAGUCAAUGUGGUCAUAGGAGCCGCUAUCUUUGAGAAGUUCUGAACGAACCUCCUGUAGUAACCUGCCAGUCCCAAAAAGCUUUUAAUCUCAGUCACUGUAAUGGGUUUGGGCCAGUUAGCUACAGCUUCUAUCUUCUUGGGAUCUACCUCAAUACCCUCUACUGAUACUACAUGUCCCAAGAAGGAAAUGCUCCCCAACCAAAACUCACACUUCGAGAACUUGGCAUACAAACCAUGCUCUCUCAAUGUCUGCAGAACUAUUCUCAGAUGCUGGGCAUGCUCCUCUGCAUCUCUGGAAUACACUAAGAUAUCAUCGAUGAACACAAUGACAAAGUGAUCCAGAAACUCACUGAAUACCCUGUUCAUGAGAUCCAUGAAUGCUGCAGGGGCGUUAGUCAACCCGAACGACAUCACUAAGAACUCAUAAUGCCCAUAUCUAGUUUUGAAAGCUGUCUUUGGCACAUCUGCCUCUCUAACUCUCAACUGAUGAUAUCCGGAUCUCAGAUCUAUUUUAGAGAAACAACCUGCUCUAGCUAGCUGGUCAAAUAGAUCAUCAAUCCGAGGUAGAGGAUACCUAUUCUUGCUAGUGACCUUGUUCAACUGUCUGUAGUCGAUACAAAGUCUGAGGGAUCCAUCCUUCUUUCUGACAAAGAGCACUGGAGCACCCCAAGGUGAGGUACUAGGGCGGAUGAAACCCUUAUCUACCAAGUCCUGCAACUGUUCUUUCAACUCUUUUAACUCUGCUGGCGCCAUCCUGUAGGGAGGAAUAGAGAUCGGUCUGGUACCUGGCAGCAAUUCGAUUUCAAACCCUAUCUCCCUAUCAGGUGGGAGUCCUGGUAAAUCGUCUGAGAACACAUCGAGAAACUCUCGGACUACUGGUACUGUGGCUGGUUCCCUCACCUGACUGUCUAGCUCUCUCACAUGAGCUAGAAACCCCUGACAACCCCUCUUAAGCAAACGACGAGCCUGAAGGGCUGAAAUCAUACCUCUGGGUGUACCUCUCCUGUCUCCUCUGAAGACACACUCUGACCCAUCCUGGUCUCUGAGACUCACUAUCUUCUCUCUACAGUCCAAAGUAGCACUAUAUGCAGAUAGCCAAUCCAUCCCUAGAAUGACAUCAAAAUCAGUCAAGUCUAGAACCACAAGGUCAGCUGGAAGGCAUCUACCCUCUAUAAACACUGGACUGAAAUGACAGACUGACACUGCCACUGAUGGGUCACAUUUAGGUCCACUGACCCAGAGAGGAUACUCUAACUCAGAACUGAUCAAACCCAAUCUCUCUAUGGCUCUCGAAGCAAUAAAGGAAUGAGAAGCACCGGGGUUCAUCAAAGCAUACACAUCUGAACACCCAAUGAUGAGAUUACCUGACACCACUGUGUUCGACGUGUUAGCCUCCUCCUGUGUCACAGUGAAAAUCCGUGCUGGGGCUACCGGAUUUCCACCUCGGGAACCUGCUGCUGAAGUAGAAGCUGCCCCUCUCCCUCUACCUCUGCCACUACUCUGAGGCAUGACUGGAGCUACUGGCUGUACAACUGGCUGUACCACACUGCCUGAACUCAUCUGCUGGGAUGGUGCAAAAGUCAUCUGCGGACAAUCCCGAGAAAUAUGCCCUUCCUGUCCACAUCGAAAACAAGCUGUAGAUCCCAACCGACAAACUCCUCCAUGUGGUUUUCCGCAUCUUCUGCAGACUGGAGCUGUGCCAGAGCUUGCGCCACUACCUAUUCCCAGACCUGACUUGACUCUACUCCAGAACUUACUCUUUGUUCCUUUUGCUCUGUCCCAUCUCUUGCUGCCUGCAGUGCCUGCACUGGGGGCCUUAGACCCCGAAGCCUGUGCCUUUGACUGUUUCUGAAUAUUGGCACUAGCUUCCAUUUUCCUGGCUGCGUCUACUAUAGUGUGGAAACUCUCCUUUUAUGCUGGAAGAAUCAAGGAAGAAUACCUGGGAUGCAAUCUCAUAGUAUAUCUCCCUGCCUUCUUCUGAUCAGUAUCAUAGGCUUGACCCACAUACUGAAGCAAAUCCAGGAACUUAUCUGUGAAUUCAUCAACACUCAUCUCAUCUGUCUGUCGCAACUGUUCGAACUCUAUGACUUUCAUCUCCCGAGAACUGUCAGGAAAAGCCCACCCUGCAAAUUCAUUGGCGAACUCUCUCCAUGACAUGCUGUACAUUCUGGGUUCCACAUAGUUCUUGAACCAUUCUCUGGCCUUCUUACAUUUAAGUGUAAACCCUGCCAUCUCAAUGGCUCUCCUAUCAUCUGCUCCCAAUUCACUGGUUAUCAUCCUAACUGCUCUGAGGUAGUCAAAUGGAUCAUCUCCCGUGUUGUAUUUCGGAGCAUCCAAUUUCAAGUACUCCGUCAUUUGUACUUUACCUCCAGAUGAGCUAGGUUGAUGUCUAUCUACAACAGGGGCUACUGGUUCUCGUGGUGGUACUGGGUCAUUUGGCUCUGGGUGUGCUGCACUUGGAUGGGUAGGGGAUGGUGGAUACAUAGGAUGGUGGAUAGUAAGGAGGAUAAGGCAUAUAUGGCAUGUAAGGGGAAUAUGGGACAAAACUAGAGUACUCCGACAUACCUCCCAUCGGAUACUCUGGAUAGCCAAAACCUGAGGUCUGUGCGCCUCCCUGCGACUCUCCCAUACCUUCCUCAAAUCUGCCUAUACCCAUGCUAUCAUCUCUAGACUGAUCAAUCUCCAUAGCCUCCCUCCUUUCCUCUGAUCUUCCUCCCCUAGCUGUACCUCUUCUGCUCUCGUCUACAGACCUUCUAGGGUCUAUUGACUUACCUUCCCUACUAGAUCUCUGAGACCUUGCCCUCGGCAAUGCAGGAGGACGAGCAGCUGGUCUCUCACUCUCUGGUGGGACUCCAGUCAAUCGAGCUGAUCGACGAGUUCCUCUCAUCUUUACUCUCUGGAAAACAACACAUAACAUAGCACUUUAGCACAUAAACAACACAUAGCAAUAAGGCACAUGCAUAACUCAUGGCAUUACACAGAUAGGACUCAAUACCCUAUCCUAGUAGACAUGAUUUCCUAUUGUGCUUGACCACUUCUAACCUUUAUGAGCCCACCACUAUCUCUAUAGGUCCGAUCAUGUGAACCUAGGGCUCUGAUACCAAUCUGUAACUACCCCAAAAUGGACCGUCACCGGCGCUAGGAUUCAGGUCGGCUUAAGGCCGCUGGAACCCGUAGCAAGCCUGCUAUACUCUCUGUGUACCUGUAAAACUCAUACAUGAUCAUACAUUUUCUAUGAAAAUAAAAACUCUUUUCUGAACCAAGGCUUAACCUGUGCAUGCACUAUCUCUGUACUCUGUACUCUGUACUCUGUACCCCUGACUAGAGCUUGCUCUAGAUGAGUUAUCUCAUACCUGUUAAGCCUAGUUUUUCACAUACAGCAAAACAUAUAUACAUAUACAGAUCAUGUAUAAAACAUACAUCACUAGAUCAAGCACAUUUCUAACUUGAUACACAACUAUUACAUCUCUUUAAUAUUACAUGUCCACUCUAAGCUAUUACAUUACAAAUCUCUUUAUUCUUUCUCUACUCUGCUGGACUGUCCCUGUACACUGUACACUGAACCUGCAAAACUGGGGUUAAGGGAGUGGGAUGAGCUCUAUAGCCCAGUGAGUAGAACAGUAAAACAUCUCAGUAAAAUAUGAUCUCAUGGGGCAUAGUGCAGACCACGUCCGGUCUUUCUCUUACAUAGUGCCAGGGGCGUAGUGCAGGCCACACCUGGACUUCCAUAUCAUAUCAUCAUGUCAUAACAUAUGAGGGCUAAUGGAUCAUUCAACAUUCAUCCACAUCAACAACAUAUUAUGCAAUGCAACAUAUUCGUGAUUUCUAAUGCAAACAACCUAAGAUAUCACAUGGCAUCCGUGAUGCAUGAACAUGCUCAAAACUAAUUUAUUUACUUGAAAGCAUAAGAGUUAUUCCACUCACCUCUGGCUAGCUCUGACACUGACUGAAGCAGCUGACUCACUGCUGAGGUCCUCGGGUCCUCGGGUCCGAACCUACACAGGUGGACUAAAAUGAGGGACCGAACAACUAGAACAUAACUCUAAAAACAUCCCCCAAAAACCCCCUAAAACAUCUCAAAACAUCCAUGUAAGAACAUGCAAAGGAAGGCUGGACAGGGCACUUUCGGCGGUAGGUUCGGCGGCCGAAAGUCCCUCCAGAGCCGAAAGUCAGGCAGGUUCGGCGGCCGAAACUCCCAGACAGAGGCAAAACUCAUGCAUGUUCGACGGCACUUUCGGCAGCCGAAACUCCCAGACAGAGACGAAAGUCCCCUUUCGGGGGCAAGCUUCGGCAGCCGAAGGCUGCCUCCACAAGAGGGUUCGGCGGCCGAAAGUCCCUUCGGCUGCCGAACCUGGUUUCUCCCAAAGGGCAAAAACUUGGUUCAAACAUGCACAAAUGCCUCCAAACUCAUACCAUUAUGCAUUUAGCUCAACCAAAACAUGCAUACAAGCUCCUAGGGGUCUCAAACUACCUUAAACCCCAACUACAACACAUCAAACACACAUUUACAAGCCACAUUGCUCAAAAAUUCUUCAAAAACCCAUAAACUCAACAUAAGCUUACUCAUGCAUUUUCUACCCCAUGAACUUGCAUAAAACUUGUUUAAAACAUAAUGUAAGCUAGAGAUCGACUCUUACCUCUUAAAGAUCGAGAGUAGAGGCGAUCUAAACUUGGAGUUGGGAGAGAUUUAGCUCCUUGGGUCUCCAAGUUCAAAACUUGCUCAAAACUUGAAAUUCUUCAAAAGAAAGCAAAAACUUGUGAAAAUCUUAAAAGAUCUGAAGGAAAAGACUCAAGAUUGGUGAGGAACGGCGGAGAGCUCACCUUGGCCGACAAUGGGGAGAAAAACUCGCCCGUUUUCGGCUAAGGGACCCUUUUAUAGUGGCUGGCCAGGCCACGUUCGGGGGCCGAACGUGCCUCGGCAUGCAUGCCAUGUUCGGCGGCCGAACCUGGACUUCCCUCACUCAUGCCUUCGGGGGCCUAAGGCACACCCGAAAUGCAUACAUGUUCGGCGGCCGAACCUGGGUUUUCCUCCAAGGUUGUUUUCAUGCAAAAACUCAUUUCCUUUUUACUUAAAACCAUGAAAUACAUUAAAACAUUUUAUGAAAACAUGUUUCUACCCUACUAGAGGCUUCCGACAUCCAAGAUUCCACCGGACGGUAGGAAUUCCGAUACCGGAGUCUAGUCGGGUAUUACACCUGUCAGGAGUGGCUAUUCUAUGGACAAGUUGGCACAGGUGUAUGUAGAUGAGAUCGUCAGGCUGUAUGGGGUUCCUGUUUCAAUAGUGUCUGAUAGAGGGCCCCAGUUCACCUCCAGGUUUUGGCGGAGUCUGCAGAACGCCAUGGGUACCAGGUUGGAUUUCAGUACUGUCUUCCACCCCCAGACUGAUGGACAGUCAGAAAGGACCAUCCAGACUAUCGAGGAUAUGCUCAGAAUGUGUGUGUUGUACUUUGGCGAUUCUUGG